CAAAUAAUAGUAUAUACCCUAUUACAUAGAUUUUGGAGAUCUAAAAAAAUAAGAAAUUUUAUUUGU